CACGCUGGCGGCGUGCCUAAUACAUGCAAGUCGAGCGGAGCACUUCGGUGCUUAGCGGCGGACGGGUGAGUAACACGUAGGCAACCUGCCUAUAAGACUGGGAUAACUAUCGGAAACGAUAGCUAAGACCGGAUAACUGGUUUUCUCGCAUGAGAGGAUCAUGAAACACGGAGUAAUCUGUGGCUUAUAGAUGGGCCUGCGGCGCAUUAGCUAGUUGGUGAGGUAACGGCUCACCAAGGCGACGAUGCGUAGCCGACCUGAGAGGGUGAACGGCCACACUGGGACUGAGACACGGCCCAGACUCCUACGGGAGGCAGCAGUAGGGAAUCUUCCGCAAUGGACGCAAGUCUGACGGAGCAACGCCGCGUGAGUGAUGAAGGUUUUCGGAUCGUAAAGCUCUGUUGCCCUAGACGAACAGCAGCAGGAGUAACUGCCUGUUGUGUGACGGUAUAGGAGAAGAAAGCCCCGGCUAACUACGUG
rnacentral:rRNA from 1 species